rnacentral:rRNA from 1 species
GAUGAACGCUGGCGGCGUGCCUAAUACAUGCGAGUCGAGCGAACAGACGAGGAGCUUGCUCCUUUGACGUUAGCGGCGGACGGGUGAGUAACACGUGGAUAACCUACCUAUAAGACUGGGAUAACUUCGGGAAACCGGAGCUAAUACCGGAUAACAUGUUGAACCGCAUGGUUCAACAGUGAAAGACGGUUUUGCUGUCACUUAUAGAUGGAUCCGCGCCGCAUUAGCUAGUUGGUAAGGUAACGGCUUACCAAGGCAACGAUGCGUAGCCGACCUGAGAGGGUGAUCGGCCACACUGGAACUGAGACACGGUCCAGACUCCUACGGGAGGCAGCAGUAGGGAAUCUUCCGCAAUGGGCGAAAGCCUGACGGAGCAACGCCGCGUGAGUGAAGAAGGUCUUCGGAUCGUAAAACUCUGUUAUUAGGGAAGAACAAAUGUGUAAGUAACUAUGCACGUCUUGACGGUACCUAAUCAGAAAGCCACGGCUAACUACGUG